rnacentral:misc_RNA from 1 species
ACAUUUUCUUCUCGAAUGGGAAAGGUUCUCAAUGAUAGUUCACCAUCUUAUUAAAAUUGUUUUAUUAAAGUUGUUUCUGAGAGAAAUGUUUCUCAUUUAUUUUCUUUUUUCAACAAAAUAUAUUCCAAAGUUUACAGAAUUACGGUGAGAUGUAUAGCUAUGGUGAAACAUCUAGAUUAUCUUGGCAAAAGCAGUCUAUUUACAGAAGACCAUUAAUAUUGACAAACAUGGAUAUAGUAUUGACCACAGCAAUGAUAAAAUCACUAACUGUAUCAAGCAGCAGCAGCCUUCUAAUGAUAAUCAAAGCGUUAAUGAAAAUUAUAAUAGAAUCAGAAAGUCCAGUGUCAAAUACUUCUUCACUUCUAUUAUCAGAUGAGCACAGAAUGUAAUGAUGGAAAUAGUAUUUACACCAUAGAACUGCUUUAAAAACAAGCGAACUCAAGCUCGAUAAUAUUCUAAAUAAAUUCUGCUACCUGUUGUGAGAAAACAUCUGUCAAUUUGCCAGCCAAAACUGAGGCAAACAAUUGAAGAAUUAUGGUGGCCUGAUAUCUUCGUUAUGUUGACGGCUAAAAGAGGGCGUGAAAUUGACUGCGUGAUAGAUUCAAAGAUUUUUUGUGCUAUACUGUGGUUACAUGUUAUACAUAUAAUCACACUAGCAACUUAUUUACACAUAUAAGCAAUCUUCUUGGAAAGUAUUGGUAGUUUUACUUAAAAAUUUUUUUAUAAAAUAGCUUGUUUAUUUGAUCUUCUGAUCGCUAAAUAAAAUUUUGUUUUUAAUUCUAUAUAAGUUAUUUUUCCAACUAUUAUUACAUUCUCAAAAAGUUUCAGUUUAAUAACUAUUACUAAAGUUUUUUUUAAAAAGAUAGAGAUCAUAGAAGUUCUUUCAGAAAAUUUUAAUAGCUUUGUGUGCUAUAAGGUCAUUUACUACUGCAUGUUAAGCUUUUCUGGAUUUCAAAAAUGAUAGAGAAAAGUAUAGGGCAACAGUUAGCCUCGGAGACUACAAAUCCUUGCUCAGGAAGUUGGAGGCAUAAUGUUCUGUGUAAAAUUUUUAAAAGGACAUACAGUAGUGUUUUCAUUUUAUCAAGCAUGAAUAGUAAAUUGAAUAAGAUAGAUUCAAACAUUGCAAAUAACAUUUACUUUUUAAUAUUAAAAAUCAGUUUAUUUAACAGAUUUGUUUAGAAAGGAUUUCAAAACCAUUUCCUGUUUAAGCAUAGUAAAGUUAAAAUAGCAGAAUAAUGCUGUUGAUUUUUAUUUAUAUUGGCAUAACGGGCAUGGUCAAUCAAAUUGACCAUGCCCGUUAACUCGUGCCUGCCAAUCAAACUAAUGCAAACAUGUUGAUUAGAAAAUCAUGGUGGCACAACAUAUUUGUUCAUGUUGAUGGAUGAAAUAUUUAUUCUCGGAUUAGAUUAAUUAAAUAUUUAAUUCCUUGCAAGUUCAGGAUGAAACUGUGACAACUAUUGUCCAAUAUUGUUCUAAUAAGAAAUGUCAGCUCCACUUUUGUUAUAAACUAAAACGAGAGAAGUUAUUGACAGACUCAUUGAAGAAAAUUUAAAUCGUGCUCCUCUUGGAUUGGUUGCAGGUCAUGACUUAAAAUGAAGUAUUUAAUGAAA